AAAUGUGGAUGUCAAAGAUGGACUUGUCAAUGGAUGCUUUGGAAACAUUGGAAACAUUGUGACCAAAACAAAAUACAGACUUGCAUUUGUGCACAUGCUUGGAAAUCAGUCGACAAUCCAAAUGCUGGCCAGAAAUACAUACGACAACAACUGCAAGGUGAAGAGGACACUUUACAUCAAAAGAUCAGAGGAAACUCUUAAGAAAGAAGCAGUCUGUCAACUAUUUCCAAUCAAGAUGGCUUACGCAUGCACCACUCACAAAGUUCAAGGCAUGACCAUGCAAUCGGCUGUCAAAAAUCACAACCACGUUGGAGAGGACAAAAAAUGGCAACGCUGGAAGGCAUCAUGCUACUUUUUGACUGGAAAAAAAACCAACAACAGUCUGAAAGAAAAGCUUAUCGUUGUGCAUCAUAAAGCAGAGGGACUCCCAUCACAUAUAGAGGACAUAAAACACCCAUCACCAAACAUCAUGGGCCUACUUAAUUAUUUGGAAAUGAUGGAGAAUCCCAUAAUUGUCUGUGGAGACUUCACCAAAGACCACCUCUUGUCUGGAAGAAAGCCCAUUCUGGAGUUGUUCCAAUCCCUACUAUACAAACAGCUCAUCUCCAUGGCCACCACAAAGAAAACGAACAUUGGCCUACGUCUUUGACAUGAAGUCAGUGUGCCACACAGAACCGGGAGACAAAAGACCUGGAUAGAGCCUGAUUAUCAGCCACUCGUCUUUUACUUGGUGGUGUGUGCACAGUUGCGUGAAGGCGGUGUGUCGUACCUGAGGUGGAUGCUGUGUGAUGAGAGUAGAGUAGGGUCAGCAGCAAGGGACAUCAGGAGGAUAUUGUGGCAUCUUCAAAGUUUACAAAGGGCAGUGACAGCAGCAACAGUUGUGGCGAUGCUGGUUCGAGCCUCAGCUGGGUCAGUUGGUGUUUCUGUGUGGAAGAUGCAAGAACAGGAUGGAUGAAAAAGCAAACUAACCCUGUCAUGGGUAAAA